GGCUAGCUCUGCUUUCAGUCGGCAGCCUCUCCUUUCAGUCGGCCACAGCUCCCUUUCAGUCGGCCAGCCUCUCCUUUCAGUCGGCCACAGCCUCUCCUUUCAGUCGGCCACAGCCCUCCUUUCAGUCGGCCAGCCCUUCCUUUCAGUCGGCCCACCUCUCCUUCAGCGGCCAGCUCCUUUCAGUCGGCCACAGCUCCUCUCAGUCGGCCAGCCUCUCCUUUCAGUCGGGCAGCCUCUCUUUCAGUCGGCACAGCCCUCCUUUCAGUCGGCCACAGCCUCCUUUCAGUCGGCCAGCCUCUCCUUUCAGUCGGGCAGCCUCUCCUUUCAGUCGGCCAGCCUCUGCUUUCAGUCGGGCAGCCCUUUCAAGGUCUUCCUGUCCGUUUCUUUCUGCAGUCCUGCCUCUCCUUUCAGUCGGCCAGCCUCUCCUUUCAGUCGGCCAGCCUCUCCUUUCAGUCGGGCAGCCCUUUCAAGGAGGUCCUGUCCGUUUCUUUCUGCAGUCCUGCCUGUGCCCCUGGACGGUCUGCGGCUCUUCGACGCUGGAAUCCUACAGAAAAAAACAUGUACACAACCCAGUUAUUAGGAUUGUUCACUACAUGGUUUUGGUUUUAUGUAUAAACCAUAAUGAUUUUCAUGCAGAAGAGUUGAGUAUAAC
rnacentral:lncRNA from 1 species